GACGAACGCUGGCGGCGUGCUUAACACAUGCAAGUCGAACGGAAAGGCCCUGCUUUUGUGGGGUGCUCGAGUGGCGAACGGGUGAGUAACACGUGAGUAACCUGCCCUUGACUUUGGGAUAACUUCAGGAAACUGGGGCUAAUACCGGAUAGGAGCUCCUGCUGCAUGGUGGGGGUUGGAAAGUUUCGGCGGUUGGGGAUGGACUCGCGGGUUAUCAGCUUGUUGGUGGGGUAGUGGCUUACCAAGGCUUUGACGGGUAGCCGGCCUGAGAGGGUGACCGGCCACCUUGGGACUGCGAGACGGACCAGACUCCUACGGGAGGCAGCAGUGGGGAAUAUUGCGCAAUGGGCGGAAGCCUGAUGCAGCAACGCCGCGUGCGGGAUGACGGCUUUCGGGUUAUAAACAGCUUUCGCCUGUGACGAAGCGUGAGUGACGGUAAUGGGUAAAGAAGCACCGGCUAACUACGUG
rnacentral:rRNA from 1 species